rnacentral:lncRNA from 1 species
CAGUUCUGCAGAGGUUAUGAGAAGGAACGACAGUGAGCAACCAGCGUCAACAUCGAGUUCGAGUCAUUCCAACAAUACUGCUGUAGAUGCUCCAAGCUGGUCGUCGACAUACCUUGGUAUGAAUUUCCAGGACAAACGAGGACCUACUUGUAUGAAUGGUAGUUGGAUGAACCCGGUAGGAUGAAGUUGGGUUCGGUUUCA